GCACUGGGGAUUGGAGGGUUUGGGU
rnacentral:piRNA from 1 species